AUACGUAGGGGACGAGCGCUGUCCGGAAUUACUGGGCGUAAAGGGCGCGCAGGCGGAUAUUUAAGUCAGCUGUAAAAGGCAUGAGCUCAACUCAUGUAUGCGGUUGAAACUGGGUAUCUAGAGUGCUGGAGAGGUAAGCGGAAUUCCCGGUGUAGCGGUGCAAUGAGUAGAUAUCGGGAAGAACACCAGUGGCGAAGGCGGCUUACUGGCCAGAAACUGACGCUGAGGCGCGAAAGCCAAGGGAGCGAACGGGAUUAGAUACCCCGGUAGUCCUGGCCGUAAACGAUGAAUGCUAGGUGUGGGUGUCGAGAGGCAUCCGUGCCGGAGUUAACGCGAUAAGCAUUCCGCCUGGGGAGUACGAUCGCAAGAUUGAAACUCAAAUGAAUUGGCGGGG
rnacentral:rRNA from 1 species